rnacentral:rRNA from 1 species
AUACAGAGGGUGCAAGCGUUAUUCGGAAUUACUGGGCGUAAAGCGCGCGUAGGCGGAUGAUUAAGUCAGUUGUGAAAGCCCUGGGCUCAACCUAGGAACUGCAUCUGAUACUGGUCAUCUAGAGUUUAAGAGAGGGAAGUGGAAUUCCAGGUGUAGCAGUGAAAUGCGUAGAUAUCUGGAGGAACAUCAGUGGCGAAGGCGACUUCCUGGCUUAGAUCUGACGCUGAGGUGCGAAAGCGUGGGUAGCGAACGGGAUUAGAAACCCUAGUAGUCC